UAAGGUGGUUAUUGCGGCGGGGCUCACCUCUUCCCAUCCCGAACAGAGAAGUUAAGCCCGCCUGCGCAGAUGGUACUGCAGU
rnacentral:rRNA from 1 species